rnacentral:lncRNA from 1 species
UCAUCAAAAGGUGGUGUUGGAAGUCUUCUUGCCCCUGGAUUGGUUUGGGAAGCUUCCCCUCUCAUGGAAUUUAACUCAUGUUGUUGUUUCUCUAGUUUCUCAUUCAUGUUUCCAAUAGCUAGUUAAAUCCUCUCAAAUUAUUGUUGCAUUGCUCUGAGGAUGAAUUCUUGAUCUUUUGAUGUUUUUUCACUCCCUUGUGGCUCCAUCU